GGAUUGUGGCUCAGUGGUGGAGUGCUCGCCUAGCACGGGCAGGACCCGCGUUCGAUCCUCGGUACCA
rnacentral:tRNA from 1 species